CGAAGGAAAAAACUGGUUAUUAAAUUGGCGAAUGCUGGCGGGCGGGCGGAACAAUCUUGUCCGGGCCAUAACUAUGUCGUUCAUUGUCAUAUUUUAAAAUCAUUUGGCACAUUUGUUCACCAUCAUUGGACGGUGUGUCGCGCGAAAUAAUUACGUCGAUAUCUCCAAGGUCAAGGUCACACUUUGAGUUCAAAGGUCAAAAAUGGCCAUAAAUGAGCUUGUCCGAGCCAUAACUAUGUCGUUCAUCGUCAGAUUUUAAAAUCAUUUGGCACAUUUGUUCACCAUUAUUGGACGGUGUGUCGCGCGAAAUAAUUACGUCGAUAUCUCCAAGGUCAAGGUCACACUUUGAGUUCAAAGGUCAAAAAUGGCCAUAAAUGAGCUUGUCCUGGCCAUAACUAUGUCAUUCAUUGUGAGAUUUUAAAAUCAUUUGGCACAUUUGUUCACCAUCAUGGGACGGUGUGUCCCACGAAAGAAUCACGUCAAUAUCUCCAAUGUCAAGGUCGCCACGACUAAAAAUAGAUUAAAAAAAAAAAAAAAAACUUACAAAGGGGGUUAAUUUUUUUUGGUCAUUUCAAAAGUUCAGUUU